GAUGAACGCUGGCGGCGUGCGUAACACAUGCAAGUUGAACGACGGUGCCAUGAAGUGGUAACACGGAGUGGUAUACGGAGUAGCGGACGGGUGAGUAAAGCAUGAGAAUCUGUCCUGUCGAGGGGGAUAACGUUCGGAAACGGACCCUAAUACCCCAUAGUCCGAGAGGUUAAAGGCAGCGAUGCGCGGCAGGGGGAGCUCGUGUCCUAUCAGCUAGUUGGUGAGGUAACGGCUCACCAAGGCUUCGACGGGUAGCCGGCCUGAGAGGGUGACCGGCCACACUGGAACUGAGAAACGGUCCAGACUCCUACGGGGGCAGCAGUGGGGAAUAUUGGGCAAUGGGAGGAAUCCUGACCCAGCGACGCCGCGUGAACGAAGACGGCCUUCGGGUUUGUAAGUUCUUAUGUGGGAAGAAGGAAGUGACGUACCACAUGAUAAGCCCCGCUAC
rnacentral:rRNA from 1 species